GGUAGCCGGCCUGAGAGGGCGACCGGCCACACUGGGACUGAGACACGGCCCAGACUCCUACGGGAGGCAGCAGUGGGGAAUAUUGCGCAAUGGGCGAAAGCCUGACGCAGCRACGCCGCGUGAGGGAUGACGGCCUUCGGGUUGUAAACCUCUUUCAGCAGGGACGAAGCGAAAGUGACUGUACCUGCAGAAGAAGCGCCGGCNAACUACGUGCCAGCAGCCGCGGUAAUACGUAGGGCGCAAGCGUUGUCCGGAUUUAUUGGGCGUAAAGAGUUCGUAGGCGGUYUGUCGCGUCGGAAGUGAAAACCCGGAGCUCAACUCCGGGCCUGCUUUCGAUACGGGCAGACUUGAGUGUUGCAGGGGA
rnacentral:rRNA from 1 species